GAUGAACGCUGGCGGCGUGCCUAAUACAUGCAAGUCGAGCGAACGGACGAGAAGCUUGCUUCUCUGAUGUUAGCGGCGGACGGGUGAGUAACACGUGGAUAACCUACCUAUAAGACUGGGAUAACUUCGGGAAACCGGAGCUAAUACCGGAUAAUAUUUUGAACCGCAUGGUUCAAAAGUGAAAGACGGUCUUGCUGUCACUUAUAGGUGGAUCCGCGCUGCAUUAGCUAGUUGGUAAGGUAACGGCUUACCAAGGCAACGAUGCAUAGCCGACCUGAGAGGGUGAUCGGCCACACUGGAACUGAGACACGGUCCAGACUCCUACGGGAGGCAGCAGUAGGGAAUCUUCCGCAAUGGGCGAAAGCCUGACGGAGCAACGCCGCGUGAGUGAUGAAGGUCUUCGGAUCGUAAAACUCUGUUAUUAGGGAAGAACAUAUGUGUAAGUAACUGUGCACGUCUUGACGGUACCUAAUCAGAAAGCCACGGCUAACUACGUGCCAGCAGCCGCGGUAAUACGUAGGUGGCAAGCGUUAUCCGGAAUUAUUGGGCGUAAAGCGCGCGUAGGCGGUUUUUUAAGUCUGAUGUGAAAGCCCACGGCUCAACCGUGGAGGGUCAUUGGAAACUGGAAAACUUGAGUGCAGAAGAGGAAAGUGGAAUUCCAUGUGUAGCGGUGAAAUGCGCAGAGAUAUGGAGGAACACCAGUGGCGAAGGCGACUUUCUGGUCUGUAACUGACGCUGAUGUGCGAAAGCGUGGGGAUCAAACAGGAUUAGAUACCCUGGUAGUCCACGCCGUAAACGAUGAGUGCUAAGUGUUAGGGGGUUUCCGCCCCUUAGUGCUGCAGCUAACGCAUUAAGCACUCCGCCUGGGGAGUACGACCGCAAGGUUGAAACUCAAAGGAAUUGACGGGGACCCGCACAAGCGGUGGAGCAUGUGGUUUAAUUCGAAGCAACGCGAAGAACCUUACCAAAUCUUGACAUCCUUUGACAACUCUAGAGAUAGAGCUUUCCCCUUCGGGGGACAAAGUGACAGGUGGUGCAUGGUUGUCGUCAGCUCGUGUCGUGAGAUGUUGGGUUAAGUCCCGCAACGAGCGCAACCCUUAAGCUUAGUUGCCAUCAUUAAGUUGGGCACUCUAAGUUGACUGCCGGUGACAAACCGGAGGAAGGUGGGGAUGACGUCAAAUCAUCAUGCCCCUUAUGAUUUGGGCUACACACGUGCUACAAUGGACAAUACAAAGGGCAGCGAAACCGUGAGGUCAAGCAAAUCCCAUAAAGUUGUUCUCAGUUCGGAUUGUAGUCUGCAACUCGACUACAUGAAGCUGGAAUCGCUAGUAAUCGUAGAUCAGCAUGCUACGGUGAAUACGUUCCCGGGUCU
rnacentral:rRNA from 1 species